rnacentral:sRNA from 1 species
AAACUGUGUCGUUGCGUGCUGAAGACACUCUUGAACGGAGGCAUGUGUCUGCGGAUUCAGAUCGCCCCGAUACCCGUAGUAGGCCAGGGUGCACGCAUAAGCCU